rnacentral:tRNA from 3 species
CAAUAUAGCUCAGUCGGUAGAGCAAUUCACUCGUAAUGAAUAGGUCAUCGGUUCGAUUCCGAUUAUUG